rnacentral:rRNA from 1 species
CCUGUCCCAAAGCCUUAAAUCAAAUUUAACUUUUAAGUGAAAAGGCUUAAAUAUUCUUAAAAGACGACAAGACCCUAUAAAACUUUAUAAAAAGAUUAUAACUUUAAAUUUAGGAGUUUAUUUAUCUUAUUCAAUCUUAUUUAUUUCGUUGGGGCGACGAAAGCAUAUUUAACCUGCUCUUUAUUUCAUCACAAUUUUUUUUGUUGUAUUUGACCCUUUUUUAAGAUUAAAAGAAAAAGUUACUUUAGGGAUAACAGCGUAAUUUUAUUUGAGAGUUCCUAUCGACAAUGAAGUUUGCGACCUCGAUGUUGAAUUAAAGUCUCAUUACAAUGCAGCCGUUGUAAUUGUAGGUCUGUUCGACCUUUAAAACUUUACAUGAUUUGAGUUCAAACCGGCGUGAG